ensembl:lncRNA
GUUGCUUUUAUUUUCUGACUGAAAUAGGAACUUAAGAAAAGCGUGUGGACGGAAAGUGUUUAAUCUAAAAAAGAAGACACUGCCCGCAGUUUUAAGAGUUUGAUUUUAAAUGCAGUGAAUAUGGCCAAAAGCCAUGCGGAAGUCACGCAGCUGAGACACUGGAUCCUGCAUUCCUUGAGCAAAAGACACUUUACUGGGAGUCUUAGAUGGCGCAGAUGGCCAGACCAACUAGGCAGGCGUCCUGCUGAGCAUAUCAGUUAAAAGGCAUGAGUUUGGGUAAUUUCAUCAAGCCACCCGGCACCAGGUUCUGCAGCCACCUCUGUUGACACAACUGAUGCGGAUGCAAAACACAGGGUGGAGCUGAUCAGAUCAGGAGCAGGCAUGUUGAAUGGAGCAGAUAAAUUAUCCUGAUUGGAGCUGUCUUUGCUGCCCAAAGGCAGUAGCACAUGGAUCCACAGCCUUCACGUGUAAUAUCGAUUGUACACAAU